rnacentral:rRNA from 1 species
GAUAAACGCUGGCGGCGUGCUUUAUGCAUGCAAGUCGAACGAUACCGAUGAACCAAGCUUGCUUGGAACAUUGGAAGAGUGGCAAACGGGUGAGUAAUACGUAAGUAACCUGCCCCUAAGUAGGGGAUAACUCUGAGAAAUUGGAGCUAAUACUGUAUGUGGUGGUGAAGGUAGUGCUUCACUACUAAAGCCUUCGGGUGCUUAGGGAGGGGCUUGCGUCCGAUUAGCUAGUUGGUAGGGUAACGGUUUACCAAGGCUAUCACGGGUAGCUGGUCUGAGAGGACGGACAGCCACACUGGCACUGAGACACGGGCCAGACUCCUACGGGAGGCAGCAGUGAGGAAUAUUGCGCAAUGGGGGAAACCCUGACGCAGCAACGCCGCGUGGGCGAAGAAGGUCUUCGGAUCGUAAAGCCCUUUUCUCUCGGACGAGGAAGGACGGUACGGGAGGAAUAAGCGUCGGCUAACUACGUGCCAGCAGCCGCGGUAAAACGUAGGACGCAAGCGUUAUCCGGAUUUAUUGGGCGUAAAGGGCGUCUAGGCGGCGUCUUAAGUUGGGCGUGAAAUCUUCCGGCUCAACCGGAAGGGUGCGUCCAAUACUGGGACGCUUGAGGACAGCAGAGGGAGGUGGAAUUCCCGGAGUAGCGGUGGAAUGCGUAGAUAUCGGGAGGAACACCAGUGGCGAAGGCGGCCUCCUGGGCUGUACCUGACGCUGAAGCGCGAAAGCGUGGGGAGCAAACGGGAUUAGAUACCCCGGUAGUCCACGCCGUAAACGAUGGAUACUAGGUGUCGGUGGUAUUGACCCCAUCGGUGCCGCAGCUAACGCAUUAAGUAUCCCGCCUGGGGACUACGGCCGCAAGGCUA